ACAAAAAGUCUUUUGGCUAAGAUCAAGUACCGUAUAGUAUAUGUUUAUUAGUUUAGUAUCUCAUACGUAGGCUAAUGGCUUAUACGAUAUUAAAUUUAUUUAUUGAGGGUGAGAACCUUUCAUAGUAGCUUUCUUCAGGGGAGGAUCGAUCUCAAAUUCGAGUUUGAAUCGAGCUCAAAUUCGAGUUUGAAUA